AGUAGUCCAACCUACAGGUAACAAUUGCAUGAAUCAGUUUCUCUCAAUCGCUCUGAGAGAGGAUGUUUCUGGAGAUUUGUUUAAAGGUCCGUGCACAUGCAAAAUUCACUUUUUGGACAUUCUGGUAUGUUUAUUUGACUCCCCGGGUCAGAUUAAGACACUCCUGGUGUGUUAGAGGUACGCCCCCUACUUAUUUCACACUUUUGAGAGUUUAUCCAAUCCGGUUCAAGAACCAUCGUUUCAAAUUUGGCGGACUGGAUACAUCUGCAUUCGCUUGACCAAUCACAGAACCAGCUUGCCCCCUCCCCCCUCAGACAAACCUGGACCCCUAAAUGUACCUGAAACAUUUCGUUUCAGUCACUCCAGUCACACACAAAAGAAGAAGUAGUCACUCACUGCGCAGUCUACCAUAGGAGGUAGCGCUAAUGCACCUUUCAUUUGGUUGCCACCCGCCAUUUAAAAGACAAAAAGAAGAAGUCACUCAGGUUGAAGAAGCGCCCACUUGCUGCUUCCCCAAACGUGAGUACAUGCUUGAUACCUAUUUGAUGUAUGUACUCCAGACGUUUCUCUGUUUAUAAUGUAGCUUCCCUCCUGUGUAAGGAAUGCUAAUUGCUUGAACCGUUGAAUCUAACAGCUACAACGACAGAGAGAGACAGUGUUGCAAGAUGCUGACACGCAAUUUGGAUGAGUCCAAGCCUCUCCAGCAUUUGUCCGGUUCGAAUCGUGUGAUAUAUGGUACUGAGGUCAUUCACUCAGCUCACAUUAUAGCUGCUAGCGCGAUAGUAUGCAGCGUUAGCGGCUAGCAUUAGCGGCUAGCGCUUGUAAGUUGUGAGAGUCAGCUGUGUUUCUAAUUACUACCGAGCCUGUCGUGUGUGUGUUGUAGCCCGAGUAGACCCGUGAAUUUGGGUUAUUGCAAGUUCUAUCUAAGUCUAACGUGUGUUGUUGCUUAUCUAGUCAGCUACUUUAGCUGUAAACGUGACAUGUUUUUUUUUAUACAGGCUGACGCAUGCCAGCUACUGAAACGCGAAGAGGUUGCUUCUCAAACUGACACGCGGCUACCUUGUAGAAGAGUAGAAGAGUGCUUUUGAUAUUUUAGUCUGUUGACGGGUAAUUUGUACUUCUAGUGAUUUAUGGUGCAGAUUAUGUGGAAAAUGUGAUGGAGACCAUCUUCAAUAAAGGAGGAGGACCUUGUAAACAUCCCUGUCCCACCGGCCCUCUGAGCAGAAUUUGAGCAACCUGACAGAAAGGAGUGGUGUCAAGGAAAACAGCUGCAUCGUCCAUCUGUACAGCAGCUGUACUGCUUCCGAUGUCUUCCAAUAUGUGAAGACAAAAAAGAUCCUCACAUCUCCCCAGCCAACUGCCCAUGACUACACCUGUUCCACUCCAGAAACUAUGCUUUCAACAUAACUAUGAAUCCUACCCGUUCAUUUUGUGGUCUGCAAAUUGAACUGUGACGGUAACUUAUGCAUUGGUUAAAAAUAAAGUUGGCUUUGACUAUU